CCCCACCGCUGUCCAAGCCGCUCUUGGCGUCAUCGGGGAUCCCGGUCGCGCAUUGAAUCCAUCGCAAAGGAUCUCGAGGCUUGCCACCCCGCCCGGCGCACCCAUCUAGAGGCACAUGCUCUCCACGGAUCCAUUGGAUCCCUUGCCGCCUCUCCUCCUCUGUGCUUCGCUGGAGAAGCCUUGGCCUUGCCCUGGAUGCUAGAUUCUGCGAUUCCUCACCUGCAAUAUGGAUUAUGGAAGUGCAUCUGCACCUGGGGCGCUAGCUGCUGAUGGCCAGAGAUAACCGCGAUGUGUACAGGUCCGUACCUUGCAUCAAAUUCCAGCCCUUACGGCCACUCGGAGCGCUUUUCACUGUACAAACAGCAUGCAGAGAAGCUAAUGGAGUCUUGUUCAGGUUAUCACUGCUUUUGCUCCAGCAAGAAAGUACGACGAGUCUUGCGAAGGGUCCUCGAGGAAGCUCAAUAUAUAGAUGACUAUUCUCAGUGGAGAUGAUACCAGAGAUGUUAUUCUGAAGUAAGCUCCUGCACACCAUUCUUUUGUAGUUCCUUCAGAAGAAAUGAUUCCAUUCUUGUACUCGAUACUGUAGAGUGGUUGCUGCUCAUUCGUCUUAA